UACAGAGGUGGCAAGCGUUGUCCGGAUUUACUGGGCGUAAAGAGCGCGCAGGCGGUCGUUCAAGUCGCGUGUGAAAGCCCCCGGCUCAACUGGGGAGGGUCACGCGAUACUGAUCGACUCGAAGGCAGGAGAGGGUAGUGGAAUUCCCGGUGUAGUGGUGAAAUGCGUAGAGAUCGGUAGGAACACCAGUGGCGUAGGCGGUCUCCUGGGGUUAUCUUGACGCUGAUGCGCGAAAGCUGGGGGAGCGAACGGG
rnacentral:rRNA from 1 species